rnacentral:rRNA from 1 species
GUGGGGAAUAUUGGACAAUGGGGGGAACCCUGAUCCAGCCAUGCCGCGUGUGUGAAGAAGGCCUUUUGGUUGUAAAGCACUUUAAGCGAGGAGGAGGCUACCGAGAUUAAUACUCUUGGAUAGUGGACGUUACUCGCAGAAUAAGCACCGGCUAACUCUGUGCCAGCAGCCGCGGUAAUACAGAGGGUGCAAGCGUUAAUCGGAUUUACUGGGCGUAAAGCGCGCGUAGGUGGCCAAUUAAGUCAAAUGUGAAAUCCCCGAGCUUAACUUGGGAAUUGCAUUCGAUACUGGUUGGCUAGAGUAUGGGAGAGGAUGGUAGAAUUCCAGGUGUAGCGGUGAAAUGCGUAGAGAUCUGGAGGAAUACCGAUGGCGAAGGCAGCCAUCUGGCCUAAUACUGACACUGAGGUGCGAAAGCAUGGGGAGCAAACAGGAUUAGAUACCCUUGUAGUC